CGGCAGUGUCUUCACGACUAUGGUGGCCGCUGGUGGGGUCGGUCUCCGGUACUACGGUAGCCGAGUUGACUCUGGUAGCGUCGGUGUAGCUGGGAGCCGGGAGGGUAGCAUUAUGGACUAGCGAUGGCUGAUGAAACGAUACCAAUCAACCUGGAGGAGUGGAAAUACAGCUGAUGGCCUCUCUGUUGACUGUUUAUUUAUGUAAACAUGCAAAUCGAAUAUGAUAAGCAGUAAUACAUAAGGGUAAUAAUUAGGAGGAUUUGGGAUGGGAAAGCGGUGAUCGGCUCACUUGAUGUGUCGAUUCAGUUUUCAGUUAUUCCGAGCAGGAGUCUUCGUUGUUAUACUAGUUGAAUUUUGUAGUGAAAAGAAUAAACGAGUCGGGUUAUUAAUUUUUCGACUCCAUGUGCCGGAAACACAACAUCAUGGAGAGGCUCUGGGGCCUGCUCCUGAUGGAGGGUCACUGUUUGUUCAUCGGAUUCAAUUUCAAUGAUACUAUUAAUCCGAUUUAUUUUAUUCAUACAAUCUCUUUAUUUAACCCUGAUAUAUAAGACUGUCUUUCUAAAAUAUUUAAAAUGUCUUGCUUGGCAACGUCAUCCAGCCAGGACAGCGAACACUGUUUCUACAAAUCUACAAUUUAAAUUGCAAUGGCCUUUAACCAAAACCAUGAAUUGGUAUCUCAAAUCUAUCUUUUUCUUUGACCUUUACCUCUAUCUGUAUACUGUUUCUAUAAUCAAUAAGAA